AAGUGCAGAUGAAGCGAAGGUGUGUCAUUGAGUUCAUCCAUGCAGAAGAAAUGUCACUUAUUGAUGCUUGGUGAAUAUUUCUGAGACCAAACAGUGGAUGUGAGCACAGUGAGGGGUGAGUGGUGCUCUUCAGCAGUGGCAGCAGUAGAUCUGAUCUGCUGGUGCAGGUUCUGAUGAGCAUGGCACGUACGUCUUGUUCUGCUGGCAAAAAUGCAGAGUUCAUGGCAGUGACUAUGUUGAAAAAUAGUGUUUUGUAGCUGAGAAUUUACUCCAUCAGAUACUGUUAUUGUGUUCUGCGUGCUCUUGUAGCUUCCAUGGAAAUAAAUAGGAGGUACAACUUUUGGAGCAACCUGCGUUCAUGCAGCCCACGAUGAUUCCUCUUCACUCAGUGUGCCAUGGGUUGGACACACAUGUUGUACAGCACAGAGACAAGUGCAGAAGAGAAAAUGAUGCUACAGCAGGUGAUAAUUCAGGAGCUCAGACCGAGCGAUGUCCCCAAGGUCACUCAGCAUGUCGAUGACAGAGAUGGAUUUAGAACCCAGGAGGUGG
rnacentral:lncRNA from 1 species